GAUUAUUUUGUUAAUCUUCCUGUGGUGCAUACGAAAUAGAGAACUAAGAAUGAAUGUUGAUUUAUAUGUUUAAUUAGUUUGCAGAUUUUUAUAGGCCAUAAUAGGUCUGGUUGUAGUUCCAAAUGAAUUUGGUUGUCGACUCUGCAUGAGGUCUUUUUGCAGCCAUGGCGGAUGUAUCCUCUUUUGUUCCAGAUUUUACCCAUCAAUCUGAGCCUCAUACCUUUUAUGUUUUUCAUUUAUUUUGAUUUUCAAAAUUUUAAACAAAAUUUUACUUUGAUUUAUAUGUGUUGCCAUAUCGGGAUAUUGUGAAGGGUAAUUAGAGGUUUCCUGUCCAAGUUACUUGGAAAGUAUGAGUAUUUGAUUGGAAGUUUUUUUUGCAAGACUAAUAACAUAUUUCUGUAGCACAAUGUAUAUUCAGGUAGUAUAAGUAUCACCUCUAUGCAUGGCAAUUCUGGACCCGAUUAUAUACGAAUUAAUGUAUUAGGGUUAUGACUUAUGAUUUAGUAAUUGCUGCUGAAAAUAAGACUGACACUUGGUGAUGCAUCAAUUGUGCUAUUAUGUUCACCCGUUCUUUUGUAGACACCAUUCAGGUAACUUACCUCAUGUCAUUAGAGCUGUUGUAGUUGGAGCGCUACACCUUGACUAGUUGUGUGUAUCUCCAGUAACCACAAAUGUAGGUGCAAUGUUACAUUUUUAAUUAUUUCAAGCACUAUUGAUGUCCUUCGUUUCAGGUGAAGUUCACACUUUGACAUUUUAGAUGACCCAUGUACAAUCUCACCAACAAUCUCAUGACUUCAAUUAUUAGAGAAACUUAAAAUUUCUCUUUGAUCUCAUAUUAAGUUCAAUAUCUUAUUAGGUUCAACUCAACUUUUCAGUAUUUAACAUUGUUUAGAGCAUUGAUUUAGGCUUCUGGCUCAGUGUAGAAAACAUAAGAAGUAUGUGAGAUUUUUGAUAUGUCCUACCCUAGUAAUGAUUGUAAAUCUCUUUUGCCACAUUUGCCAAGCCACAGGUGUUAUGGCUAUGCCUUUUUUGUGAUGAUUAUUUUGUUAAAUCUAACUCCAGUGCAUACAAAAUAGAGAACUAAGAAUGAAUGUUAAUUUAUAUGUUUAUUCAGUUUGCGAUUUUUCAUAGGCCAUGAUUAGUCAGGUUGUAGCUCCAAAUUGAUCUUGUUGGCUCUAGAUCUUUUGUACCUUAUAUUUGUAGUUCCGUGGUGAUCUGAAUAUUUUUGUUAUUUUAUUUUAAAGGUGUUUUUCAUGCAUAGAAUUUCUAUUAUUUUUUAAAUUCCUCGAGAUUUUGUGCAACCAAAGAGCCCAAACAUGUCGAUUUGUAAAAUGUUUGAGAAAAAUCAAAUGUUUGAGAAAAACUUGAUGCUAUGGGAGCUUUCGUUGUAGCUGCAGUGGAGUGAGAUUCUUCAUGGUCUAAUCCGUUUUCCUUUAAACUUUCCUAUGUUUGAUUAUGCGAUAUUAAUAAGUUUGAUGUAAUUGAUAAUAUUUACCAAUUGAAUAAUCUUUGAUUUCAUAUUGGUUCAGUAUCUUUCUAAGUUCAUCUCAACCCAAUGUUAGAGAUGUCUUUGAAAUUCUUUAUAUGAUUGACGGUAAUUUCUGCAAUAUAAAAUAUGGAGUCGCAUCUUAUCCGAAAAGGCUACAGCUAUUGUCAAAACCUUAUCUUUUUUUGUAGUCGAUUCUGGCUAUAUGUUAGUUAACCUUUUUGCUGACUUUGCAAUAUUAUAAAGUGCGUGAACGUGUACUACUAACCAUACAGUUUGGUGCAAGUAAUAGUAAUGUUGUGAAGAUGUAGUAUUAAGUUGGACAUGGGAGUUGGUAUAAGGGCCUACUAAAAGAUAAUUGUGAGGCUACAUGACCUUCAUCUCCUACCGGAUUUAGCUAUUUUGAAAUUUCACAAGAGAGCAUGGCACAUAUUAGUUGUUGGCUUGUACUUGACACCGCCGAAGAUCUUCUAGUGUCUGCUGCAUCUAUAGCAUGCAGCUGUAGUACGGGUAAACAGAAAAGAUUUUUUAUAAAACAGAAUCGCUCACGCAGGUUGCGUAUUUGACUCACAGUGAUCGAAAUGCCAUAUCUCUUGUAAAGCCAUCGGAAGGCCUGGUCCAAGUUGAUGAAAGGUCUUUGAAAGACUUGUAUAAAAUAUCAAAAAAACACAAUUUAGUGGUAUAUUCAGGGGGAAAGACUUGCUAAUUGGUUUUGAUAUUCUAUAUCGUUUGAGAGAUCUACGGUAUGGAACAGAAGGUCUUAGAUACAAGAAGUUUACAAAUCCUUGGAGCAAUGUGCCAAAACUUUUCAAAGUUUGAUCUCAAAGUGGGUUUUUGUCAAUUAGGCAUUAUGCCUAGUGACAGACCAAAGACAACAUUCUGCAUCCCCAACCACCACUACCAAUGGAAAGUAAUGCCAUUUGGAUUGAAAUAAUGAAGCUUGUACCAAAUCGCGACUUACCACGUACGGCGAGCAGAUCAGAUGGAUAACCUUUUUCCUUCAGUGGAGGACUUGACGUGUCUAAACUUAUCUAGGCUGGUUUUACCUCAUAGUCAAUUCAGAAUAUGUGUUAACCAACUUUGGUGCUAAAGUCGCAGCACAUAU